rnacentral:lncRNA from 1 species
CUUUUAUAUCACUGCCGUCUUUCCUCGGUGCUGCCUCUUAACACAAAUGUCCUUCCAGAUCCUGCUUGUUAGACAUCUUUGCUGUUCUUAAUUUCUAGCAACAUGUCUAUUAUUCAGCUGUCUCCAUUUGUCCUUCUAUUUUAUUCUCAUGCAGAUCAGAUUUUGCUGGUGCAAAUAUUGGGACAAUGUAACGUGGCCGCACAUUUCAAUGUAAAAGGUGGGCUAGGCACCCAGUUGGAAUUUGCUCCCAUCAGAUACCAGUAGGUGACAAAGAGAAAAAGGAGAAAGGCAAUAGAGUGAGGAGGAGCUGCUUGUUUUUACCAGUGUGUGUUGCUCUUAACUAGACACUGCUGUCCGUGUUAUGCGGGAGUAGCACGUCACUGGGACUUGCUGAUUUUCACAGAGCAGUUUAAGGAUGUGAAGGACAGAUCAAAAUUGGGGCUGGCCUGCAGUGUUUGGGAUAUUUGCAAGCAAACUCAAAAUGCUCGGAAGUUUUAUAUGAGCCACUACGUGCAGACACUCAUGGGUGCUUAUCUGGAUUUUUUCCCCCUCUUUCCCUGACAGUCUCUUAGUAUCCCUUUAUUUCCCAUUUUUCUGCCUUUUUUCCUUAUUGGACACAAGCAUUUGACUCAUUUCAAAGUAUCAGCAGAAGACUGGUGAAAAGCCUUCCAAACUCUGUUAUUGACAAUGGAUAAUUGGAAAUAGACAAAAUAACUCCUGUAUCCUGGGAGAAAGAGGAUCAAAAAUGAUGGAGUGAUACCGGUCAGGUUCUUCAUAUCAGAGUUCCUGUAACAGAGCACUGCGUAGCAGUGCUGCUGCAGCGUUUUUGGUUUGGCAGCAAAACAGGAAGACCAGAAGGAAACAGUCAUUUGGGUCAGAUCCUUUUUGUAAGCUUAGUUACUUAAUCUGGGUCAAUUCUGAAAUGAAAACCUAAAGCAUUUUAUUUUGAAACUGUCAAAAUGAAAUGCUUGGGUUUUUCAAAAUGUUUCCACGCUUUCUUCUGCAGCCUUGACUGACAACCCCGAUUCACAGUCAGAUCUUGCUCCUCUGAAAUGGCAUUUUUUGGUGAACUUAAUCUUCAACUUUUUAAAAAAUUAAUUGCAAAGUGUUUACUUACACCUCAUUCACAAGAUUUAUGACAGGCCACCACAAGGCAGAGCUCCCUGCUGAUGGCAGAUGAGUGCC